UACGGAGGGUGCAAGCGUUGUUCGGAAUUACUGGGCGUAAAGCGCGUGUAGGCGGCUUGGCAAGUCGGGUGUGAAAUCCCGGGGCUCAACCCCGGAACUGCAUUCGAAACUGCCUGGCUGGAGUCCCGGAGAGGGUGGUGGAAUUCCCAGUGUAGAGGUGAAAUUCGUAGAUAUUGGGAGGAACACCAGUGGCGAAGGCGGCCACCUGGACGGUGACUGACGCUGAGGUGCGAAAGCGUGGGGAGCAAACAGG
rnacentral:rRNA from 1 species